GACGAACGCUGGCGGCGUGCUUAACACAUGCAAGUCGAACGGAAAGGCCCCUUUGGGGGUACUCGAGUGGCGAACGGGUGCGUAACACGUGAGUAACCUGCCCUUGCCUUCGGGAUAACUUCAGGAAACUGGGGCUAAUACCGGAUAGGAAUCCUUGCUGCAUGGUGGGGGUUGGAAAGCUUCGGCGGUUUUGGAUGGACUCGCGGCUUAUCAGCUUGUUGGUGGGGUAGUGGCUUACCAAGGCUUUGACGGGUAGCCGGCCUGAGAGGGCGACCGGCCACAUUGGGACUGAGAUACGACACAGACUGCUACGGGAGGCAGAAGUGGGGAAUAUUGCACAAUGGGCGGAAGCCUGAUGCAGCAACGCCGCGUGCGGGAUGACGGCCUUAGGGUUGUAAACCGCUUUCAGCAGGGGCGAAGCUUGUGGUGACGGUACCUGCAGAAGAAGCACCGGCUAACUACGUG
rnacentral:rRNA from 1 species